UUCUUUUCCUUUAUCCAUUUUCAUUUUAUUUAUUUCUAUUUCCAUUUUCGUGCAUUAUACACAGUUCAUUAUGUGUUUAUAUACACAAAAAUGUUCAUCUUAUAUUUAAGGAGAGUUCACCCUAUAUUGCGAAAAUAUUUAACAUUUUUUAAGUGUUCAUUAUGUAUUUCAAAAUUGUCUACCGUAUAUCACAAAAAUAUUCAUUGCGUAUUUAAAUAUACAGUCAUCGUAUAUCAUAAAAUUGGUCAAUGUGAACAUAAAUAUUGUUCAAACUAUAUCACAAAAAUGUUCAGUGUAUAUUUAAAAAAAAAUUCAGAUCAUAUUAAUUUUUCCAAAUAUAUAUUUAAAACAUGUUCAUCAAAUAAAAAAUUCAACAUUUUUAGGUAAUUUCAAAAGUCUAUUUAUGUUUUUCAAAUUUUUGUUCACUGUAUGUUAAAAAUGUUCAACGCCUAUACGAGAAUUGUUCUGCACCCAUUGCGAAGAAGUAUUAUUCUCACAAAAGUUACAAAUUAAGUAUUUAGCAUGUUUUCUUUAAGGAGAAGUAUUUAGCAGGUGUUAUGUCUUUUUUGUUUGUUGAGAAAACAGCAGUUUUUUUUUUCAAGAAAUAACAGCAGGUGUUAUGUGCGCGUAGACAUGUAGUAGUGUGUACGCAUCUUCUAAUUGGGCCAUUGCUCGGCCCAGCUUCUCACCUAUCUCCCCUUUCCUUCUUCUUUCGGCUCCCACCUACAACGCCAGGCAGAAGACCGAAUAAAGGGGGACAAGAUCCCAAGACAGAGAGAGGCGGCUCGCUUCCAGCAAGAGCAACCAUAAAUCUGCGAUCCGGCGGCUGGCCUCGCCCCCGCCACUGCUUUCAGCGGAAGGAAGGGAGGAAGCGAUGGGAAAGCGGGAGGAGAGGGAGAAAGAUGAGGGCGGUGUCAGACUGUCAGCCAGAGGAUGAAGGUCGGGGCGGCGGCCCCCGUCUUCACCAUAGACGACCUCGACGUCCUUGACUGCUCCGUCUGCUGCCACCCCCUGCGCCCUCCCAUUUUCCAGUGUCAGUACACUGUGGGUCGUAGCAUAUGUUCGUCUUGCCAUGACAAGCUCCCAGGCAAAUGCUGGUUCUGCUCCCUUCCCACAGUCUACAACCGCUGCAACAGGCUAGAAUAUGUGGUAGAAUCCCUCAAAGUUGCUUGCCCCAAUGGAUGCACUGCGAGUAUAAAAUACUACAAAAAAGAAGAGCAUGAGAAAGAAUGUCCGCAAGCACCAUGCUUCUGUCCCAUAGCCAACUGUGGUUAAGCGGACCAACUGCAAUGCUCCUGGAGCAUUUCUCAGCCAAGCACAACUUGCGCGCCUUGGAAGUUCCAUACAGCGAGUUGUUCGGGAUAUAUAUGCACGUCAAUGCUGAUCCUCCGACAUCAGAAAACCGCUCUUGUGGGUCAGGAUGGACACCUUUCCUGGUCUACAUGAAGCUGGAGUCCUUCGGUGGUGUCGUCAAGGUCUGCUGUGUCCAGCCUCACAAUACUGGGAUUAAGUUCAAGUGCGGGCUGGCAUUGUCAUGUACUAAAACGGGCUACUCCUUGGCUACGGAGUUCCAAACGAGGAACACUAAUCUGUAUGAUGGGCUUCCCGAUGAUGGCUUCCCGUUCCUUGUGCCGAAGGUGUUACUUCCAGCUGCCGGUACAAGUGCCACAA